ACAGAUAACCAUGGUUAAUAAAUGGUCAGUAGAUGACACGUCACUGGCUUUAAAAUAUAAACCCCAUUGAUGCAAAAAGAUGCUGCAUGGAAUGACAAGGAGGUUUGGAACAGACUUGGUGAAGAACAUGGAAACAUCUCUAAAUAAAAUGGCCCCAAACAUCAUCAGGAGUGCAAAAGAAGGAAGUAAAAAACAUCUCUACGCCAAUCUCAUUGGAACAGCAGAGGAAAGCACAGAAGAAAGAAAGCCGUGAACGUUUGAAAUAACGAGAACCCAAAGGUCCCAC